UACGGAGGGUGCGAGCGUUGUCCGGAAUCAUUGGGCGUAAAGGGCGCGUAGGUGGCUUCUCAAGCGUGCGGUGAAAGCCUGGGGCUCAACCCCGGGUCGGCCGUGCGAACUGGGGGGCUUGAGCACUGUAGAGGCAGGCGGAAUUCCGGGUGUAGCGGUGAAAGUGCGCAGAUAUCGGGAAGAACACCCGUGGCGAAGGCGGCUCUCUGGGACGGUACUGACGCUGAGGCGCGAAAGCGUGGGGAGCAAACAGG
rnacentral:rRNA from 1 species